rnacentral:rRNA from 1 species
GGCUCAGGACGAACGCUGGCGGCGUGCUUUAUGAAUGCGAGUCGAACGGCAACAGGCUGAGAUCUUCGGAUGGAUGCCUGCUAGAGUGGCAAACGGGUGAGUAACACGUGGGUAACGUGCCCUAGAGACGGGGACAACGGAGGGAAACCUCCGCUAAUACCCGAUGGUCUGGCUUACCAUAAGGUAAGUCGGUAAACGGAGCAAUCCGCUUUAGGAUCGGCCCGCGGCCCAUUAGCUAGUUGGUGGGGUAAUGGCCCACCAAGGCGACGAUGGGUAGCCGGUCUGAGAGGAUGGCCGGCCACACUGGGACUGAGACAUGGUCCAGACUCCUACGGGAGUUAGCAUCAGGGAAUCUUGCGCAAUGGGCGAAAGCCUGACGCAGCGACGCCGCGUGGGUGAUGAAGGUCUGCGGAUCGUAAAGCCCUGUCAGGAGGGACGAACGCCGUGUUCUGCACGGUUUGACGGUACCUCCAAAGGAAGCCCCGGCUAACUACGUGCCAGCAGCCGCGGUAAGACGUAGGGGGCAAGCGUUGUCCGGAAUUACUGGGCGUAAAGAGCGCGUAGGCGGUUCAGUAAGCGGAAGGUGAAAUCCCGGGGCUCAACUCCGGGGCUGCUUUCCGAACUGCUGGACUAGAGUAUGGGAGAGGGCAGUGGAAUUCCUGGUGUAGCGGUGGAAUGCGUAAAUAUCAGGAGGAACUCCCGUGGCGAAGGCUGCUGCCUGGAACAUUACUGACGCUGAGGCGCGAAAGCUAGGGGAGCGAACGGGAUUAGAUACCCCGGUAGUCCUAGCCGUAAACGAUGGACACUAGGUGUUGGAGGCAUCGACCCCUCCAGUGCUGUUUUGCUAACGCGUUAAGUGUCCCGCCUGGGGAGUACGGCCGCAAGGUUGAAACUCAAAG